rnacentral:rRNA from 1 species
UACGGGGGGAGCAAGCGUUGUUCGGAUUUACUGGGCGUAAAGAGCUCGUAGGCGGCUCGUUGCGUCGGCUGUGAAAACCCGCAGCUCAACUGUGGGCCUGCAGCUGAUACGGGCGGGCUGGAGUUCGGUAGGGGAGACGUGGAAUUCCUGGUGUAGCGGUGAAAUGCGCAGAUAUCAGGAGGAACACCGGUGGCGAAGGCGGGUCUCUGGGCCGAUACUGACGCUGAGGAGCGAAAGCCAGGGGAGCAAACGGG